rnacentral:rRNA from 1 species
GUAGGUGGCAAGCGUUGUCCGGAAUUAUUGGGCGUAAAGCGCGCGCAGGCGGUUCUUUAAGUCUGAUGUGAAAGCCCACGGCUCUACCGUGGAGGGUCAUUGGAAACUGGAGAACUUGAGUACAGAAGAGGAAAGCGGAAUUCCACGUGUAGCGGUGAAAUGCGUAGAGAUGUGGAGGAACACCAGUGGCGAAGGCGGCUUUUCUGGUCUGUAACUGACGCUGAGGCGCGAAAGCGUGGGGAGCAAACAGGGAUUAGAUACCCUGGUAGUCCACGCCGUAAACGAUGAGUGCUAAGUGUUAGGGGGUUUCCGCCCCCUUAGUGCUGCAGCUAACGCAUUAAGCACUCCGCCUGGGGAUACGGCCGCAAGGCUG